UACGUAGGGGGCAAGCGUUGUCCGGAUUUAUUGGGCGUAAAGAGCGUGUAGGCGGCCGGAUAGGUCCGUUGUGAAAACUCGAGGCUCAACCUCGAGACGCCGAUGGAAACCAUUUGGCUAGAGUCCGGAAGAGGAGAGUGGAAUUCCUGGUGUAGCGGUGAAAUGCGCAGAUAUCAGGAAGAACACCCGUGGCUAAGGCGGCUCUCUAGUACGGUACUGACGCUGAGACGCGAAAGCGUGGGGAGCGAACAGG
rnacentral:rRNA from 1 species